UACGGGGGGGGCAAGCGUUGUUCGGAUUUACUGGGCGUAAAGGGCGCGUAGGCGGUCAGCACAAGUCAGUUGUGAAAUCUCCGGGCUUAACUCGGAAAGGUCAACUGAUACUGUGCGACUAGAGUGCGGAAGGGGCAACUGGAAUUCUUGGUGUAGCGGUGAAAUGCGUAGAUAUCAAGAGGAACACCUGCGGCGAAGGCGGGUUGCUGGGCCGACACUGACGCUGAGGCGCGAAAGCCAGGGGAGCGAACGGG
rnacentral:rRNA from 1 species